rnacentral:tRNA from 1 species
UGGUAAUUAGUUUAAACUAAAAUAACUGAUUUCGACUCAUUAGAUUAUGGUGAUCCAUAAUUACCAA